AAAUAAAGAAAUUAUUUAGAAAAACUUUAUUUACACAAUUAUAAAAAAAAAAAUGAGUGUCCCAACGGACUAUCCAUUACAUAAAGUUCUCAAUUUAUAAAAACUCAUUUUGCCCCGUACACGCUUCAAGUCAAAUCAUCAAACAAGCAUCUUCUUCGGUACCUAAAAUGUUAAAUGUAAGGGUCAAUUUCCUUAUCCAAAUUGAAUCAUACUCACCAUAAGAAAAAUGUCACAAAACAAUAAUAAAACACUUCAUCAAUCAAAAGAUUUCUAAAAAAUAUAAUCUUUAUUUUUCAAGAAAAAAGUAGUCAGAGACCACCAAUUUAAUAUAAUAUUCAACACCAGUUAUAUUCUUCACCGAUUAAUCUCAACACCAAAACACCAAUCUUACUCAUACACUUCACUAAUUAAACUCAAAAUCAAAUAAUAAUAAAUUUAUACCUCUUUGAUCAAAAGACACCAAAACACUGAUACUAAUGAAUACCAACAAGUACACGACCAUUAUUUUCAACUUCGUUGAACAACACCAAUAAGCAACAUCAUUAAGCAACGUCAUUUAUACAACUACAAUAGGCAACGUCAUUGGCACACAUGAAUGAAUUCAUGCCAUGUUAUAAUAAGCAACGUCAAUAGACAACAUUAUUUAACAACUUCAUCGUCCUUAUAACAACACAAAUAAUCAACGGCUUAAUCGCGAAACAACAUCGAUAGACAAUGGCUUAAUCAAGAAACAACAUCAAUAGUCAACAACUUAAAGACAACAUCUUAUAAACAACGACAUAUAUCUUAAUGUAAUUUUUAUUUUCAAUUACAACAACAAAUCAUUACACACAUAAGCAAACACACAACUGACUAACUUAUUACUAACUUUUGUUAUAUAUAUAUAUCUCUUUACAUGAAACAAGUCAUGAAAUAAAGCAACAACAUCAGCACACGCGGAGUCUAAAAAGUAUUCAUAAACCAAGUGAUACUAGCAAUCAUAACCAUAUAAAUAUAUUGGUUAAUUUAUAGCAUAAUAACUGUGUAUGUACAUGGACCGAACCAAGAACAUUAUUUUCAUAAGAAUUUCUUCUUUAUUUAUUUUCUCUCUUUUUUUUUUUAAUUAUUUAUUACUUUUAUAAGUCACCAAAUCAUCAUCAACUCACUUCUCAAACAACAACAAACACACUUCAAACAAGACUAGUUUCUUUCUAUUGGUUUAUUUUUAAUUAUUUUCUUUUAAAAGAUAAAGACCUCAUUACCACUUCACAACACAAUCCUUACGUAGUAUGAAUAUAUGGGGAAAGAGCCCUUACCUCAAGCGCUUUACUUCCAAGCGAUUUUACUCUAAAAUUCGCGGCUAUAGAGCACACACGAUAUCUCUCGCUCCAGAGUUCGUUUCGACAAUCCAACGGUUGAAAAUGAAAUCUCGCGUGUCGUGCACAUGACAAAUUGAACUCGAGAAGAAUGAAACUUAUAACAAAGCUUGAUGAUGUGUAUCGAAUGUCAUUCACAAAAGAGAUCAUUGUCAUAAAGAUGAAUUUAAGAAAACAAGGGAAGUCUCACGUUUUAACUUCUAGGAAUACAAGGAGGUUAUAAGAGGAAUUAUUGGGAAAUUAUUUUAAUGUGAGACAAUGAAAUCAUUCUUCAUCAAGUGCAUUCAAGGGGUUACAUGAAGAGAGAUUAAAUACCAUUAAGGUGGUUUGUCCGGUAACCAUGAAA
rnacentral:lncRNA from 1 species